GCCAGCCCAGCGGCCAGCCAGUACCGGGCUGGCCAUGUAAGGCCCCCAGGCAGUCCUGCCUGUCCGGUGCCCUGCAGAGAGCCUCUUGCAGCCCUGGGCACCGCCCCUGCCCUGCCCUGACCCCUUGGCCUCGAAAUGCUGUCAUCGGAGGAGCAGUCCCGCUCGGGACAAGGCCAGCAUGGACAAAGCUAGAGCUGGGGCAGGCAAGGAGCCGUCCUGUCCUCGAGGCCGUGGGAAGAGAAGCACGCACAGGAGUACACUCCUGAGAGCCUCUCGGUGCACCAGGCCUCUGCAGAGGGGCCACCAUGGCUCUAGCCCGAGCUGGCUGGCAGCUGGGGGCCCUGGUGUGGGGCGCCUGCCUCUGCGUCCUGGUGCACGGGCAGGAGGCGCGGCCGGGGCAAGGCUCGGACCCGGGGCGCUGGCGGCAGCUGAUUCAGUGGGAGAACAACGGGCAGGUGUACAGCCUGCUCAACUCGGGCUCAGAGUACGUGCCGGCCGGGCCGCAGCGCACCGACAGUAGCUCCCGGGUGCUGCUGGCCAGCGCUCCCCAGGCCCCGCGGCGGCGCAGCCCAGGAGGCCUCCGGCGUCGGCAGGCCCCGUCGCUGCCCCUGCCCGGGCGCGUCGGCUCGGACACCGUGCGUGGCCAGGCGCGGCACCCGUUCGGCUUCGGCCAGGUGCCCGACAACUGGCGCGAGGUGGCCGUCGGGGACAGCACAGGCAUGGCCCGGGUCCGCACCUCCGUCUCCCAGCAACGACACGGGGGCUCCGCCUCCUCGGUCUCGGCCUCGGCCUUCGCCACCACCUACCGCCAGCCGCCCUCCUUCCCGCAGCAGUUCCCCUACCCUCAGGCGCCCUUUGUCAGCCAGUACGAGACCUACGACCCCGCGUCGCGGACCUACGACCAGGGCUACGUGUACUACCGCGGCGGCGGCGGUGGCGCGGGGGCGGCGGCCGUGGCCUCGGCCGGGGUCGUCUACCCCUUCCAGCCGCGGGCGCGCUACGAGGAGUACGGCGGCGGCGAGGAGCAGCCCGAGUACCCGCCGCAGACCUUCUACCCGGCCCCGGAGAGGCCCUACGCGCCGCCGCCGCCGCCGCAGCCCGCCGACGGCCUGGACCGCCGCUACUCGCACAGCCUGUACCACGAGGGCACCGCCGGCUUCGAGCAGGCCUACCCGGAGCCGGGCCCCGACGCGCCGCCCGCCAGCGGCGGCACCUACGCCGCCGACCCCCGCCUCGGCUGGUACCCGCCCUACGCCAACGUGCCGCCCGAGGCCUACGUCCCGCCGCGGGCCGUGGAGCCGCAGCCCCCCUUCCGCGUGCUGGAGCCGCCCUACCUGCCCGUGCGCAGCUCCGACGCGCCCCCGCCAGGUGGGGAGCGCAGCGGCGCGCAGCAGGGCCGCCUCAGCGUGGGCAGCGUGUACCGGCCCAACCAGAAUGGCCGCGGUCUGCCUGACUUGGUCCCGGACCCCAACUACGUGCAAGCCUCCACUUACGUGCAGAGAGCCCAUCUGUACUCCCUGCGCUGUGCUGCGGAGGAGAAGUGUCUGGCCAGCACAGCCUACACCCCCGAGGCCACCGACUACGAUGUGCGGGUGCUGCUACGCUUUCCCCAGCGCGUGAAGAACCAGGGCACCGCGGACUUCCUCCCGAACCGGCCACGGCACACGUGGGAGUGGCACAGCUGCCACCAACAUUACCACAGCAUGGAUGAGUUCAGCCACUAUGACCUGCUGGAUGCAGCCACAGGCAAGAAGGUGGCUGAGGGCCACAAGGCCAGCUUCUGCCUGGAGGACAGCACCUGUGACUUCGGCAACCUCAAGCGCUACGCGUGCACCUCUCACACACAGGUCCGGCCGGGUGAGAGGGCCAGGGCGGGGACCCAGGAGUGCGGGCUCCUGGCUGCUCCACUCAGUGGGGGCACGGGUCUUCUCACCGGUCUGCAGGCCACCACGGGGUCCCUUCCUGCGCCACUCCCAGGCUUGUCUGCCCCUAGAAAGAAAGGAACAUUCCAACAAAGUCUAGAUGGCAUGGCGUCCCUUUGCCUGUUGGUCCACCCAAAUCCACCUUCCUGUCAGUCUGUCCAGGCACCUGUAGAGUGUCUGUCUAUCCUGCCUGUCUGUCUCUUCAUCUGUUCCUCCAUCCAGCUCUCCAGGCAUCUCCCUCCUUCAGUCCCUCCCACCUGGCUGUUACGCCUGCCUAUUUUCUGUCUGGUCCAUCCACCCAGCGGGCUCUAGAAGGGAGGAAGGAGGGGCCCAGACUGCUGGAGUGGCACCGGGCGGCUCUGAGGAGCGCCCAGCACCCCAGCCUUUGCUUCUGUCCCUUUUCCCAGGGCCUGAGCCCCGGCUGCUAUGACACUUACAACGCGGACAUCGACUGCCAGUGGAUUGACAUAACCGAUGUGCAGCCCGGGAACUACAUCCUCAAGGUCCAUGUGAACCCAAAGUACAUUGUGUUGGAGUCGGACUUCACCAACAACGUGGUGAGAUGCAACAUCCACUACACAGGUCGCUAUGUUUCUACAACAAACUGCAAGAUUGUCCAAUCCUGAUCUCGCAGAGGAUGGACAGGCGGCCAAUCUCCCCACGUCCCAAAGCCGGCCAGGCUCCCCAGGAAGCCUCCUGCCAGGACUGACCUGGCCCCCCCACCCCCACCCCACAGGCAGGGGCAGCUGGAGGCCACAGGCAUCCCUCCCUGCCGGCCUCAGGGAGCAAACGCAGACUGAAACCACAGGGAUUCCGGAUGCCAGGCCCAAUUUUGUACUUAACUCUUCUCGACAAUGGUAUUUUGUCGGUUGUUGGUUUUUAUUUUUUAUAUUUUGGCCAUAUCACAGAGCAAGAUUGCCCAGGCCUGGGCUGAAUAAAACAAGGUU